CCUACGGGCGGCAGCAGUGAGGAAUAUUGGUCAAUGGACGAGAGUCUGAACCAGCCAAGUAGCGUGAAUGAUGACGGCCCUAUGGGUUGUAAGCUUCUUUUAUGUGGGUGUAAACUGUUCCACGUGUGGGAUUUUGUAUGUCCCCUAUGAAUGAGGAUCGGCUAACUCCGUGCCAGCAGCCGCGGUAAUACGGAGGAUCCGAGCGUUAUCCGGAGUGAUUGGGUUUAAAGGGAGCGUAGGUGGAUUGUUAAGUCAGUUGUGAAAGUUUGCGGCUCAACCGUAAAAUUACUGUUGAAACUGGCAGUCUUGAGUACAGGAGAGGUGGGCGGAAUUCGUGGUGUAGCGGUGAAAUGCAUAGAUAUCACGCAGAACUCCGAUUGCGAAGGCAGCAUACCGGCGCCCGACUGACGCUGAGGCACGAAAGCGUGGGGAUCGAACAGGAUUAGAUACCCCAGUAGUC
rnacentral:rRNA from 1 species